AACGAACGCUGGCGGCGUGCCUAACGCAUGCAAGUCGAGCGAGAAAGUCCCGGCAACGGGAUGAGUACAGCGGCGAACGGGUGAGUAACGCGUGGGUAAUCUACCCUCCAGCUCGGGAUAACCUGCCGAAAGGUGGGCUAAUACCGGAUGAUGUUCCCGUGGGGAUCCUGCGGGAAGCAAAGGGGGCGAGCGUAAGCAGCUCUCACGGGAGGAGGAGGCUGCGUCCGAUUAGCGAGUUGGUGGGGUAAUGGCCUACCAAGGCGACGAUCGGUAGCCGGCCUGAGAGGGCGACCGGCCACACUGGAACUGAGACACGGUCCAGACUCCUACGGGAGGCAGCAGUGGGGAAUCUUGCGCAAUGGGCGAAAGCCUGACGCAGCGACGCCGCGUGGGCGAUGAAGGCCUUCGGGUCGUAAAGCCCUGUCGGGUGGGACGAAUCUCCUGGUGGCGAAUAACCACCGGGCUUGACGGUACCACCGAAGGAAGCCCCGGCUAACUACGUGCCAGCCGCCGCGGUAA
rnacentral:rRNA from 1 species